GUUCUUGUAGUUAAGUUUAUAACAACGGCUUUUCAUGCCGUAGACCUUGGAUAAAGGCCAGGCAGGAACU
rnacentral:tRNA from 1 species